UACGAAGGGGGCUAGCGUUGCUCGGAAUGACUGGGCGUAAAGGGCGCGUAGGCGGAUGGCACAGUCAGAUGUGAAAUUCCUGGGCUUAACCUGGGGGCUGCAUUUGAUACGUGUGAUCUAGAGUGAGGAAGAGGGUUGUGGAAUUCCCAGUGUAGAGGUGAAAUUCGUAGAUAUUGGGAAGAACACCGGUGGCGAAGGCGGCGACCUGGUCCGAUACUGACGCUGAGGCGCGAAAGCGUGGGGAGCAAACAGG
rnacentral:rRNA from 1 species